AUGGGGUGGAUCUGAGGCAGAA
rnacentral:miRNA from 1 species